rnacentral:rRNA from 1 species
GCGCAGCAGUCGAGAAUCUUCCACAAUGGACGAAAGUCUGAUGGAGCGACGCCGCGUGCGGGAUGAAGGCCUUAUGGGUUGUAAACCGCUGUCAGGGGGAAGAACAUCGGAAUGAACAAUACUCAUUCCGACUGACGUUACCCCCACGAGGAAGCUCCGGCCAACUCCGUGCCAGCAGCCGCGGUAAUACGGGGGAGGCAAGCGUUGUCCGGAAUUAUUGGGCGUAAAGGGCGUGUAGGCGGCGAGGUAAGUCGAAUGUGAAAUCUCACGGCUCAAACCGUGAAACUGCGUU